UACAGAGGGUGCAAGCGUUAAUCGGAAUCACUGGGCGUAAAGGGCGCGUAGGCGGGAUGGCAAGUCGGUCGUGAAAUCCCUGGGCUCAACUCAGGGGGGUCGGCCGAUACUGCCGUUCUUGAGGGAUGCAGAGGAGACUGGAAUUCCAGGUGUAGCGGUGAAAUGCGUAGAUACCUGGAGGAACACCGGUGGCGAAGGCGGCAUCCUGGACCGACACUGACACUGAGGAGCGAAAGCCAGGGGAGCAAACGGG
rnacentral:rRNA from 1 species